AUUGAACGCUGGCGGCAGGCCUAACACAUGCAAGUCGAACGAGUGGCGGACGGGUGAGUAAUGUCUGGGAAACUGCCUGAUGGAGGGGGAUAACUACUGGAAACGGUAGAUAAUACCGCAUACCAUCGGAUGUGCCCAGAUGGGAUUAGCUAGUAGGUGGGGUAACGGCUCACCUAGGCGACGAUCCCUAGCUGGUCUGAGAGGCUGACCAGCCACACUGGAACUGAGACACGGUCCGGACUCCUACGGGAGGCAGCAGUGGGGGAUAUUGCACAAUGGGCGAAAGCCUGAUGCAGCCAUGCCGCGUGUAUGAAGAAGGCCUUCGGGUUGUAAAGUACUGUCAGCGGGGAGGCGUUACCCGCAGAAGAAGCAACGGCUAACUCCGUGCCAGCAGCCGCGGUAAUUC
rnacentral:rRNA from 1 species